AGCAGCGUGGCUCAGUGGAAAGAGCCUGGGCUUUGGAGUCAGAGGUCAUGGGGUCGAAUCCCAGCUCAGCCA
rnacentral:tRNA from 1 species